rnacentral:rRNA from 1 species
AGUGAACGCUGGCGGUAGGCCUAACACAUGCAAGUCGAACGGCAGCACAGUAAGAGCUUGCUCUUACGGGUGGCGAGUGGCGGACGGGUGAGGAAUACAUCGGAAUCUACUUUUUCGUGGGGGAUAACGUAGGGAAACUUACGCUAAUACCGCAUACGACCUACGGGUGAAAGCAGGGGAUCUUCGCACCUUGCGCGUUUGAAUGAGCCGAUGUCGGAUUAGCUAGUUGGCGGGGUAAAGGCCCACCAAGGCGACGAUCCGUAGCUGGUCUGAGAGGAUGAUCAGCCACACUGGAACUGAGACACGGUCCAGACUCCUACGGGAGGCAGCAGUGGGGAAUAUUGGACAAUGGGCGCAAGCCUGAUCCAGCCAUACCGCGUGGGUGAAGAAGGCCUUCGGGUUGUAAAGCCCUUUUGUUGGGAAAGAAAAGCAGCAGGUUAAUACCCCGCUGUUCUGACGGUACCCAAAGAAUAAGCACCGGCUAACUUCGUG